UACGGGGGGGGCAAGCGUUGUUCGGAAUUACUGGGCGUAAAGGGCUCGUAGGUGGCCAACUAAGUCAGACGUGAAAUCCCCAGGCUCAACUUGGGAACUGCGUCUGAUACUGGAUGGCUUGAAUUCGGGAGAGGGAUGCAGAAUUCCAGGUGUAGCGGUGAAAUGCGUAGAUAUCUGGAGGAAUACCGGUGGCGAAGGCGGCAUCCUGGACCGAGAUUGACGCUGAGGCGCGAAAGCGUGGGGAGCAAACAGG
rnacentral:rRNA from 1 species